AGGUAAGUUCCACUUUACCUUUUUGUUGUUGAUUUCACCGGAUAUGCCAUACAGUAUCAAAAUCAAACAAAAACAACUCAGAUUUGAAAACUCUUAGGGAAAUUGCAUGAAAUUUUGGAUUCCUUUACAUCAAGCAGUACUGAGUAGGGAAACAUGACUUUUGAUUCAAAAAGAUCCUUCUAAUAAGCUAUAAGUUUCAUAUUGAAAUAAGGGGAAACAUAGGGCACCAGAAGAACAUACAUCAUACAGUGCACAUAUCUCUAACUUUUGCAUCCCAAAACAUAUUCUGUUGAUCACAACUAGUAUGUCCUUCAAUGAACAUGAUCCCUGUACCGCCAAAAUGAGGAGCAAAAAGAACAAAUUUUACUACACUUCCAGCAACAAAAGAACCCAAGAUUUAUGAAUGCUCAGAGGAUAAGAAUAAUUUCUCUGCUAACAAAACUUACCUUCACCCACGUUGACAUCAAUUUCCUGUACAACAGUUCAAAAAAAACAAAUGAUUGAUUUCCUAGAUAGCAAGCACAGCAGAAGACAAUUCAAAAAAGGAACACAAAACAAAAUAUAAGGAACAAAUAUUUCAUUUACUGACCAUUGCUGUCAUCCCACAAUCCAAGCAGCUCCAAGGCCCUUGCUCCCAGAAUCAACACAUGCAAGAGCAACAAAAGCCAAAACAAAGUUGCUAAAAAGUACACAUAUAACCCAGUCAAUAUCACACAGAGAACAAUAGACCAAAAAAAUGAAAAUGUCAUGUGGACACAUCUAAAAAUUAUAGAUAAGAAUAUCUUGCACAUCUGAAAUUAGAGACAAAAAUUCCUCAACAGUUGCUAUCUCAGAUAACUUGUGAGAUAACGGGCACCACACUAAACCUAAAAAUUCCAUGCUAAGCAAUGGAAGUAAACUAGAGACAGUAUGUCAAGCUUCUAUCAAGGAAGAAGCCUCAGGUCAAUCUAUAUUCUACCAAGAGAAAUAGAGAUAACAGAAAAAAAAACAGUACAAAACUAGGCCUACAUUACUAACUAGCAAAAAAAAAAUAUAUCAGGCACAUAUCUAAGAAAAUAAAGAUGCCUAGGGUUCCCCAAACUACAAGUCUCUGAUAAAACCAAUAUCAAUAAUUAACAAUCUAACUACCAAUAGUCAGUUACAGUGCGAAAUAAUAAAAAUUACAACUGUAACUAAGGUAUAUUUCCACUGUAAGUGGUGUGAGUUGCACUGUAAGUGUGUUUUAGGACUGCAUGAAACCUAAAAUAUUGACUUCAUCUGUUAAAUCAAAGAUUCAAAACUGAAAAUACAAUUUGAAAACUAAACUAAAUCCCCAGAUGAAAGAAGUGGGCAUCAAAUACCAUAACUAAAUCAAAAAAGAUACAAGGUUUAAGAUCAGCCAUUCAAAUGCCUCAAGAGAUAUAUUUUUUGUGGGUAAUUUCCUAAUAGAAAACAUAUAUUGAAGCUGACAUCCACAUAAAUGCAACCAAUAAAAAAACAUGGAGCUAUACAUCCAUAAAUUUUUCUGCAAGAAAAAGUUUGACGAUCAUAGAAUUUACCUGGCUAGUUCUCCUUUUCUGUUUUAAUGAAAGGAAUAAGUAGACACAUAAGAGUUAUGUCCCGGGCAGCACUUGUUAAGCAAAAACAAAGCAGAAUCUAUGCAAGACAAAGAAAGAAAGUUAAUGUUGGUUGCAUACAUUAACAGACAACAUAAAUGAAGCGGCCUCACACUUGCAAUGGCACAAGAAGGCAAGCUAAUUUCAGUAAAAACAUCUAAUUAAUUCAAAAAUGGAUGAUAACCCUACACUGCAUUGACUGGAAAAAAAAUCUACAACAUAAGGGGAAGCAAUACAAACUCACUAUUGUUUUUAUGAAACUAAAAGUACACAUAUUCUAACUUAUGCAUGCACAACUGACAAAAAAGAGUCCCUAGGGUUCCCAAACUACAAGUGUCCUAGUUUUCACACAAAUCAGUAAUAUACCCAAGGUCAAUCAAUUACAAAAUCUAACUACCAACAGUCAGUUACAGUGAGAGAUAACAGAAAUUACAACUGUAACUUAGGUAUAUUUCCACUGUAACUGGACUGUAAAUGGUGACGAGUUGUACUGUAAGUAUGUUUUAAGUUAGAAUUACUGUAAUUUCAGACUGCAUGAAAUCCAAAAAUAUUUAAGUUAGGUAGUCAGAUUACCUAGAACAUAUAAAACUAACAUGCUUUUUAAAUAUUUCUAUUACAUGCACCAACCAUACUUGAUUUAAAUUACAUGCAGGGGCUGAUAGAACAAAGUCUCAAGUAACAGGAAAUACAACUGAAGAAUUAAGAAGAAAGAAGACAGUUGAAGGUUAGAAAAUCAUGCUUACCUAUUAUUGUGCAUCAUAUCUGAUCUUCAUAGAAAAUUUCAUCUAGCACAAAUUUAUGUAUGUAAAAAAUUAGUCAUGAAGCAUGACAAAAAUUACAGUGAUAAUUAACCAAAAAAUUAGAACUGUAUAUUCAGUUACAGUGAGAAAUAACAAAAAUUACAACUGUAACUGCAGUGCAUAUGGACUGUAACUGGACUAUGACUGGAAUCAUGCAUAACUUUGUCCAAAAAUCCAAUACUCAUGCAACAACAUCAACAUUAUUCCCUACUAUAACAUGAUCUAAAUCAUAUUAUAAAUUACCUAAAUGAUGGCCUAUCUUCAACCAGAAAAUCAUGUCUACUAUCAAUGAAAUUGAGAACUGAAAUACUAUUUCAAAACUUAACAAAAUUACAUAAGAUUAGAACAGUCAGUUAUAAUUGCAAAUGUAACUGAGGUAUAGUUCCACUGUAACUUCACUGAGUUGUACUGUAAUUAUGUUUUAAGUUAGAAUUAUUGUAAUUACAUUUUGUAAUGCUUUUAUUUACAUUUUGCAGGAACAAUCUCAGCUGUAGAAUCAACUAAGGACAUCAAGUUGGACACCAAGAAAAAAGAACCACUACAGAUGAAAAGUACAUAAACAACUAUAAAUAGAUACUAUAUUGUUCCCAAUUAACUCAAAAUAGAAAUCAAACUAUUUUGACCUAUUGAACAAAUUAUAUUAAUGAACCUUUCAUACUUACCAAACAUAACACUGUAGUUUCUCAUGAAAACUUCAAUUUUCUCCAGUUGCAGGUCAUGAAGAAGUACAAGAUGAAAAAAGAAGAAGCCAAGAAUCAGAUAAGAGCAAUAUUAUGGCAAAACAUAUUAAAGAAACCAAAAGUCAGACCACUGAAGUUGUUCCAGGUCAGAAUGGCAUUGUUAUUACUAUAUUCAUGCAAAUCUUUCAAGAUACUAUUGAAACAUUGUAAUUAUAGUGGACUAGCAUUCUAAACUUUGUAUACAACUAAAGUUGAACUAUAACAGACCUAAUUUUGACUACAUCUGAGUGAUAAAAACUGCAAAGAAUCUAAUGACAUAAUUACAAAAUUAUGUCACUAAACUAUAUGCAGAUUUUCCUAUUCAAACGAAAUCAAAAUUAAGUACUUAUAUAAACACAAAACAUGCACAAACACAUACUUGUAUUGAAUUUCUAUUUCAGUACUAAUGCAAGAACAUCAGUAUUAGUUCCUAUUGUAGCUUCUAUCAGAAAUUCAGUACUCAUGCAAUAAUAUCAGCAUUACUUCGUAUUGUAACAUGUUCUAAAAAUAUUAAUAUAACCUAACACAUGCAGGGGCUGAUAGAACAAAGGCUGAAGUAACAAGGAAUUCACAAUCAGAGAGAUGUGGAAGUGACAGAAUUGACUCUGAAGAAUUAAGAAGAAACAAUACAGUUGAAGGUUAGAAAAAACAUGCUUACCUAUUAUUAUGCACCAUAUCUGAUCUUUGUUGAAAAUUUCAUCUAGUACAAAUUAUAUAAGGCAAAAAUUAGAGGUGAAGCAUGAUAAAUAAAAAUAAUCUAACUACCUUAAUUCAGUUACAGUUAGAAAUAACAAAAGUUACAGCUGUAACUACAGUGCAUAUGGACUGUAACUGGAAUCAUGCUUAACUUUCUCCUAAAAUUCAAUAGCAUCAGCAUUAUUCCAUAUUGUAACAUGUUAUAAAAUGACCCAAAACAUGCAGGAUGUCAUAGAUUGCAGGCUCAAGUUACAGGGAAUACACAAUCAAAGACAUGUGUAAGUGACAUAAUCGACUCCAAAGAAUUAAGAAGCAAGAAGACAAUUCAAGGUCAGAAAAUCAUGCUUACCUGUCAUUGGCACCAUAUAUGAUAUUUGUAGAAAUUUUCAUCUAGCACAAAUUUAUAUACAUUAAAAAUUAGAGGUGAAGCAUGAUAAAUAAAAAUAAUCUAACUACCUGCAUUCAGUUACAGUGAGAAAUAAUAAAAGUUACAACUGUAACUACAGUGUAUAUGGACUGUAACUGGACUAUAAGGGGAAUACAUUAAGCAAAAUCAACAUCAUAUGAAGAAUUAGAGGCUAAGGAUAAUGCAGUAGUAUGUGAAAGCAAAACUAAUAGAGUGGGACUUAUUCAGAUUCAAAAAUAUAAAUCAAGCAGUAUUUAGCCUCAAAAAUGGUGUCAAAACAAUAAAAAAAGCCUUUCAUUUUGUCAACAUCAUAUGAUUUUUUUUUGCAAAACUCAAAUUUUGACUAAUGAUGCUUUCAUUUUCAGUUCUAGGAUC
rnacentral:lncRNA from 1 species